CAGAUUACGAAAAGAGUUGACGUGGAAGUAGGAGAGCGUGGGUCUCGUUGACUAUAAAAGUCUGGAGACAGCUUCGAGAGGACAACAGCCACUUCAUCACUUGCAUCCUGCCAGCAGACAGCGGCGCACAGCAAAGGGAACCAUACUGUUUCUUCAUUGUCUGACGAUACUUCCAAAAUGAAGGUCUGCUUUCUUCUUCUGCUGGUCCUUGUGGCUACAGCUGCAGCUGCUCCCAGUGAGAUUGACAAGAGACUUUGGUUUGACGUGGACGAUAUUAUUCAAAAAGUAAGAGACUACAUGAGGAAUAAUCCUGGAGAUUCCGUAGCUGUUUGCGAGGCUGGAUGCCAGUCUGUUGCUGGUUUUCUAGCCUUCUUGUGUGACGACGCAUGCGAAAUCGUCGUCAAUGAAAUAAACGGAUGAGCCAGUGAAGACUGUCAUCUGCAAGGCCUGACCUUUCUCAAGUCUUCAUUGCCGACAUUUCAAAAAAGAUCAAAGAGUUGGACAUGAGUUCAGCACUUCAUUAUUAAUUUGAAAAUGUUGAAACUGGAAUAAAUCUUUUAAAAGCAG